rnacentral:lncRNA from 1 species
AGGAGUUCCCAGAGAAGCAGGAACUGCAUCGGAAUAUGCUGGGACUCUUGGGGAACGUAGCCGAGGUGAAGGAGCUACGGCCCCAGCUGAUGACUUCGCAGUUCAUCAGUGUCUUUAGCAACCUCCUCGAGAGCAAGGCCGAUGGGAUUGAGGUUUCCUACAACGCCUGUGGCGUCCUCUCCCACAUCAUGUUUGAUGGGCCUGAGGCCUGGGGCAUCUGUGAGCCCCAGCGGGAGGAGGUGGAGGAGCGCAUGUGGGCAGCCAUCCAGAGCUGGGACAUCAACUCCCGGAGAAAUAUCAAUUACAGGUCAUUUGAGCCAAUCCUUCGCCUCCUUCCCCAGGGCAUCUCGCCUGUCAGCCAGCAUUGGGCCACCUGGGCCCUGUACAACCUGGUGUCUGUCUACCGUGAGUGUGCCCUCUUGCCCUUUGAUCACCCGUGCGCUGAGAGCAGACCCGCCUCCAGGAGGCGACAGCCCGGGAGGCAGCAGCGGGAGAGCUGGUGUUGGCGUCUGCGCCUCGGCACACGGCCCUCCGCUUGCCCACAGCGGUGGGAUGCCAGCGUCAUGGCUGGCCCCUGGCUCGUCCCCACAGGCAGCCCUGGCCCAUCUGGACAUCCCAGGCAGCUUUCUUGCUGUGUCCUGCUUCCACCUGAGCCAAGAGUCCAAGCUCUCCAUGCCUCCCGUGAGGCAGACUAAGACCAACCCCAGCUGAGAACGAACCCCUGAGGAAAGAGGAGAGACUUAAAAACACUCACUUCCUCAGAGACUCGCACCCUCUCUUAGAAGAGCCUGAACUGCCCACUGCCCGGUGGCUUUGGGGGAGGGGAAAGAGGGCGCAACUCUAAGAGACUUUGCUUUUUUUUUUUUUUUGACCCUAGUUCUCACCGUCACUGCUUGUGUGACCUCAUGCAGUUACCUAACCUCUCCGGGUUUUGGUUUCCUCCUCUGCAAAAUGUAAUAACAGCUACUUCAUAAGAUUGACGUGAGGGA